GAAUAUUAGGAAGAUUUUUAAAAUCUUUCCAAUACUUAUUCAAAAAUUUCUAUCUUAUACUAUAUUAAAUAUUUUUAAAAAAUUUUUGA
rnacentral:misc_RNA from 1 species